AACGCGAAGAACCUUACCUGGGCUUGACAUGUUCCUGACAGCCGUGGAAACACGGUCUCCCUUCGGGGCAGGAUCACAGGUGGUGCAUGGCUGUCGUCAGCUCGUGUCGUGAGAUGUUGGGUUAAGUCCCGCAACGAGCGCAACCCCCGUCGCAUGUUGCCAGCAUUUAGUUGGGGACUCAUGCGAGACUGCCGGUGACAAACCGGAGGAAGGUGGGGAUGACGUCAAGUCAUCAUGCCCCUUAUGUCCAGGGCUACACACGUGCUACAUUGGCGCGUACAGAGGGCUGCGAUACCGCGAGGUGGAGCGAAUCCCUUAAAGCGCGUCUCGGUUCGGAUUGCAGGCUGAAACUCGCCUGCAUGAAGGCGGAGUUGCUAGUAAUCGCGGAUCAGCACUGCCGCGGUGAAUACGUUCCCGGGCCUUGUA
rnacentral:rRNA from 1 species